rnacentral:misc_RNA from 1 species
GAAUUUGCAAAGUGAGGCAAAUUUGAAAGAGACAGAGAGAAUGAAAAGGGAAAACAGAUAGAAUGAGUAGCAAAUUCAAUGUUCCUUGACAUUGUUGCCUGUGAGGCAAAACCAUAAUAAAAAGAAAUAGACAAAAUAUGACACAGUACAUAUAACCCUAGCCACUAUGUUCUCUUAUACCCGCAACAGAAGAUAACACUCUCCCUUCGAUAUGAAGUCGAAAAGAAAAUCCUCCCUCAACAGAAGAUUACACUCUCCCUCACGACAAUACAAUAGAUAAGUCAGUUGCAACAUCAAUCAUCAACUUCUUCCCUGAUUUCCCUUACAAGUUCUGCCUUAUACUCAUCAAAUGUAUCUGGGAACUUUUCAACGGUCCCAUUCUCAACUAUCCAAAUUUCACUUCUUUCUUCAUCAUCACAAACUCUUGAUAUGAGCCUCGAGUCGUGACUGACUAACACAACUCCACCAGUGAACUCAUCAAGCGCAUCUGCCAAAGCAUCGAUACUCUGCAUAUCCAAAUGGUUUGUUGGUUCAUCUAACAGCAAGAUGUGAGGCUUUGACAUAGAAAUAGAUGUAAAUACAACUCUAGCUUUUUGUCCUCCGGACAACUUUAAAAUGGGGGUAAGAUGGUUAUGACUGGGAAGUCCAAAUUUUCCUAGCUUUGCACGAACAGCUUCUUGCUUACUAGGUCCUUCUUGAUCUGGGUGAAGACGAAGCAGGUACUGGACAGGUGUUUCAUCCAUUGUGAGAAGAUCAACAAAAUGCUGCGAGUACCGUCCAAUCCUCAACUUUUGGCUCCUGCGGGCUUCACCUUCUGUAGGAACUAAAUCACCUGCCAAGAGGUUAAGCAAGGUCGAUUUGCCUGCUCCAUUGGGCCCAACUAUAGCAACUCGAGUCCCCAUAUCAAUUCCAACAUCAACAUCAGAGAGCCUGAAGUCUGGUCGAUUAGGAUAACUGAAGCUGACCUCAAUUAGCUGAAGAAGUGGAGGUGUCAGUUCAGUAGGCUCAGGGAAGUGGAACUCCACAUUGUAGUCCCUCCACUUCUGAGGGGCUUCAGGUGGAGUUUCAUCUUCAUCAACCCUAUCCUUUCCUUUUUUCUUUGAUUCUUUGGAAGCUACAAAUUUGGCUCGGUCUUUUACCUUCUCCUGUUGUGCUCGACUUCCAGAUCUCUUGGCAGCUUUUAACUGCUUAUCAUAAAUCUCAAAUUUCUUGUUCAUCUCUUUGCGACGCUGCUCAUAACCACUUUCAAAAUCAUCAAAAUUUCCUCGGUAGACAUGAAGCUUCAUGUCAUGAAGAUGGAUAAUUUCAUUGCACACUGUGUUAAGGAAAUCCCUAUCAUGAGAAACAACAACAAGAGUUUUCUUCCACCUGCACAGGUACUCCUCCAACCAGAGAACAGCUCUCAGGUCAAGGUGGUUAGUGGGUUCAUCCAACAAUAAUAGAGUUGGCUGCACAAAAAGUGCCCUUGCUAAUGAAAUUCUCAUCCUCCAGCCACCGCUAAAUGACUGAGUUGGACGGCCCUGCAUUUCCCUGGUGAAACCCAACCCAGCAAGAAUCUUUGAUGCCUGAGCCUCAGCAGCAUCUGACCCCAAGAUCUGCAAUUUCUCAUACAAUUCAGCAAGCUUCUCUCCUGCAUCAUUUCCAUUUAUAUCAUCAUCUCCAUCCUCAUUACCAGUAGCAGACGUUGAAUUUUGCAAAGAAGCAACUUCUUGUCGAAUCUUGAGAAGCUCUUCAUUAGCUGCAACAACUGCUUCUAGAGCAGUUUUAUCGUCACCAACCACCUCUUGUUCAACCAGAAGUACAUCUAUGUUUUUAGGUACAGGAAUCUUUCUCCAAGCAAUAAGCUUUAACAAGGUGGACUUGCCCAUUCCAUUGGGCCCAACCAAACCAUAUCUCUUUCCGUGAGAUAUCUUCACUGAUGCAUUCUUUAGGAGUUCUUUCCCCCGUGCUGACACGGAAAAAUUAUCUAUUGUUAUAUCUUUGACAUUAGCAUCUGCUUCAUCUUCACCUUCGAGUACUGAAGCUCGGCUACCAAUAACAACAGUGAAAGCAUCAUGGUCAUCCUUAAGGGCCUCUUUUUUGGCCUGCUCUGCAGUAUAAGCAGCAAGUAAUUCCUUCUUUUCUCGCUUCUUAAGUUCUUUGUCUGUUACAGAGAUAUCAAGUAGCUUAGGUUCACCCCUUUGCUGCCUGCUCGAUUGCCUUUUGGCCCCAGCCUGCUGUUGCUCAUCCUCAGAGGCAUAAUCAUCCUCUUCAUCAGGAGGGAGAUCAAUCCCAUCAGUAUAAGAUGAAACUUUUGGAGCCCUUGCCUUGGCAGUGCUCAAGGAAGAUGUUGAUCCCCUUUUAGGUUUAUCAGGUUUCUGGUCCAUGUUGGCAAGCAAGGCCGCAACAGAUAUUUUCUCUUUCUUUCCAUCUUUGCUGCUUGCCUUUGAUCUAGUGGCUAGACCAGUCUCUUCUGUUUUCUUUUUUCCCAUUGUAGAAGUUACUCUGGGAAAAAUAUAAAUCUAUCGCCUACAGGAACAGGAUCAAAAUGAGGGGGAGUUAUCUGAGAAAGGGGAGGAGGACCAGGCAAGUGAGAGCGAGGUCCACGUGGAGGACUGGAGAGUGGGAAGGGAGGGAACUCGUGGUGUUUGCUGUUGCAGGCUUGCUUGCAAUGGCAGAGCCGCAGAGGACCAGAGAAACAGCGGAUGGAACGCCGGAGAGCCGGCGACGCAGGGAGCAGGAGCUGCCUAGCUGGGCUGCAGAAAAUGAAAUCGAAG